UACCCAUGUCCUAAAUCAUAAUGUAUCGGUUAUGCAAGAAAAUUCGUUUGGAGUGUUUCCGGUUAUGAGUUAAAAGAGAACAACACGCCGUUUCGACAGGAACAUAUUCACCAAAACUAAAUAAAGAUGCUGCUUAUCCGGAACCAAAGACGUAGCAAUCAAGGCUAGACCUAGAUAGUAUGUCAACUGUAUGUAUAGUAGGUGCAGAGAAUUGAAGAAGAUAGAGUGUAUUAUUCUAAGGGACCAUUUAGACAGAGAUCGCCUUCAAAAAAAUGUAUUUACCGAAUGCACCAAAUCGACAUGCCAGAGAACAACCCAUCAGGCAACAUGAUGGUUACAGAAUAAACGACUCUAAGCUGUUGCAGCCGCAGAGACUUGGACUAAACUUUGAUUACAUGUCAGAAUCUAAUGUGUAAUAAAAAUACUAGUUAAU